GCCAGACUCCUACGGGAGGCAGCAGUGAGGAAUAUUGGUCAAUGGGCUUACGCCUGAACCAGCCAAGUCGCGUGAGGGAAGACUGCCCUAUGGGUUGUAAACCUCUUUUGUCAGGGAGCAACGCCGGCUACGUGUAGCCGGACUGAGAGUACCUGAAGAAAAAGCAUCGGCUAACUCCGUGCCAGCAGCCGCGGUAAUACGGAGGAUGCGAGCGUUAUCCGGAUUUAUUGGGUUUAAAGGGUGCGUAGGCGGGACCUUAAGUCAGCGGUAAAAUUGCGGGGCUCAACGCCGUAGAGCCGUUGAAACUGGGGUUCUUGAGUGAGCGAGAAGUAUGCGGAAUGCGUGGUGUAGCGGUG
rnacentral:rRNA from 1 species